ACGCUCGACACCUACGGGAGGCAGCAGUGGGGGAUAUUGCACAAUGGGGGAAACCCUGAUGCAGCAACGCCGCGUGAGGGAAGAAGGUUUUCGGAUUGUAAACCUCUGUCCCCGGGGAAGAUAAUGACGGUACCCGGGGAGGAAGCUCCGGCUAACUACGUGCCACAGCCGCGGUAAUCUGAGCGGGCUGGCAAGGC
rnacentral:rRNA from 1 species